UACGAAGGGGGCUAGCGUUGUUCGGAAUUACUGGGCGUAAAGCGCACGUAGGCGGAUCGAUCAGUCAGGGGGUGAAAUCCCCAGGGCUCAACCCUGGAACUGCCUUUGAUACUGUCGAUCUGGAGUAUGGAAGAGGUGAGUGGAAUUCCGAGUGUAGAGGUGAAAAUUCGUAGAUAUCGGGGAGGAACACCGGUGGCGAAGGCGGGCGAUCUGGGUCGAUACUGACGCUGAGGUGCGAAAAGCGUGGGGGAGCAAACAGGG
rnacentral:rRNA from 1 species